rnacentral:snoRNA from 1 species
CCGACAUGGACAUCCAGAGAGUUGCUCUCCUGGCUCUGUCCUGGUGGCGUAUGGGAGCGUAGCUCUGAGCCGAGACGUACAGUCCCGUUCCACAAUGUCGGACAGAAAGCUCCGUCCCCGGCUGCCGGUGAGGACGAGCGUCCUGCAUAUUCCUACAUCUUUCCAGAGUCCUUUGGGGCCAUUACUGGGGAGCUAAACCAUGCAGUGCACAGCU